AGGCAGCAGUGGGGAAUAUUGGGCAAUGGGCGAAAGCCUUACCCAGCAACGCCGCGUGAGGGAAGAAGGUUUUCGGAUUGUAAACCUCUGUCCUGGGGGACGAAGGAAGUGACGGUACCCCCGGGAGGAAGCCCCGGCUAACUACGUGCC
rnacentral:rRNA from 1 species